rnacentral:rRNA from 1 species
GACGAACGCUGGCGGCGUGCUUAACACAUGCAAGUCGAGCGGUAAGGCCCUUUCGGGGGUACACGAGCGGCGAACGGGUGGGUAACACGUGGGUGACCUGCCCUCAGCUCUGGGAUAAGCCCGGGAAACUGGGUCUAAUACCGGAUAUGACUCCAUGACGCAUGUUGUGGGGUGGAAAGCCUUGUGCGGCUGAGGAUGGGCCCGCGGCUAUCAGCUUGUUGGUGGGGUGAUGGCCACCAAGGCGACGACGGGUAGCCGGCCUGAGAGGGCGACCGGCCACACUGGGACGUGAGACACGGCCCAGACUCCUACGGGAGGGCAGCAGUGGGGAAGUCUUGCGCAAUGGGCGAAAGCCUGACGCAGCGACGCCGCGUGA